rnacentral:rRNA from 1 species
AUGGCCGAGGGGGAGGAGACCAAGGUGGAGGGAACGAGAGAGGAAGAGAGAGCGGAUGCAGGGGCGGGAGCGGAGGAGGAGGAGGUAGAGGUGAAGUUCCGGCUCUUCGACGGCUCUGACAUCGGCCCCAUCCGCUGCAACGCUGCUGCUACCACCGUCGCCGCACUCAAGGACCGUGUCGUUGCCGACUGGCCCAAAGAUAAAACAAUUGUCCCAAAGAGUGCUAAUGAUGUGAAACUGAUAAGUGGAGGCAAAAUUCUAGAAAAUGACAAGAAUAUUGCACAGUGCAGAGCACCUUUUGGUGAUCUUCCCAGCACUGUUAUAACAAUGCAUGUCGUUGUCCAGCCAUCAUCCGCGAAGUCAAAACCAGACAAGAAGACGAACAAGUUGCCUAAGACCACUCGCUGCUCUUGUACUAUACUAUGA